AACGUUGCGUGAGGGACAUUCAUCUUCCACCUGAGCCGCAUAUGCAACUAAUUGUUCAAUAAACAUUCUUGCAAGAGCAAGAGGCUCGCCACUGUUGGUCGUUAGUACUGUUGCUUAUAAUUUCUUCACUUCAACUUAUAAGGCAACAAAGUAAUGCUUGAUGCACGACUUGAUACCUUCAAGGAUAAGCUGUCUGGAAAGCUUCUACCUGAUCAACCAGGUAUUUGCCAUAAUACUACCUGAUCAUUAGACUCACUUUUACUUUUAUUCUCUUAACUUUUUACAUGAUUAUUUUACAUUGACCCAGGGAUUCCAUAGUGUAUUCUCUCCAAUGAAGUCGAUAUAGCCAUAUACCAUUCUUCAGAGAAUGGAAUAGGUGAGUAGAACAAAACUAUAGGUGCAAAGAGCAAGCAUGAUAUAUGGCGAUGUACUGAAUACAUUUCAUGCAGUUAAGUAAAAGAACAAAUGUAUCAGAGAAGUUCUUUACUACUUAUCUUGCAUGUACAGAACGAUUAUUGUUAUACCUCGCUGAUCAAUGAUAAAAGAUGUUGAA
rnacentral:lncRNA from 1 species